rnacentral:lncRNA from 1 species
CUCACUUUGGAAACACUGACAGAGAGCUUUCAGAGAUGCAGUGACUCUGCCAGAUGCUUCAGUGUCUCCCAGGAGGCAGGUUUUGCAGUGCAUGGAGAGGAACCAGCUGGCAGAGAAAGCAGGUUCAAGCUCAAGCAGCAAUCAGAUCAUGUAGAAUGACCACAGCCAAAUGCACAAGCCCAUUUGAGAAGCAAGGGAAUGUCUUGUGUGAUCCCAGAAUCCCAGGUCCCGGGAAGACAGAAAUGUUGCUGAGACCCCGUGGCAGCUUGGGUUCAAGCAAGACAAAGCUGCAGCCAACAGGGCUGCCAUCUUCUCACUCUCUAAAGGAAUGUGAGAGGGUGACCACCCUACAACCCAGGGAAAUGGGUUCUUGUUCUAGCCUGGUGUUGGAGAAUCACUCUCUGCAUCUGGUAAAGUAUGGUGGAUUUGACUGUGUUUGUGGAUUAGAACUUUUUACAUACAAAAAGGCCUCUGCCCUCAAUGUUCUCUCUGAUAGAGCUACAAGGCCUAAGUGGACAGUGGAUACUUAGCAGAGACAGGGAGUGGCAAGGUACUGGGACAUACGUUUGAGAUGAGGACAGGCAGCUUGUCAUGAAUGCACCAUUUCCCAUCCCUACAAGGAAGACCCUGUCUUACCAAUGUCUCUGCCUCUAGAUGUUUACAAAGAAGAUAAAUUCCUCUUCAGGCCUGACACCAGCCAUCCACCUCCAGCAGCAAGGGAACCAGGAAAUCUCAUGGCCAGCCUGGCCAGCAAGCGAGUGGAAUAUGCAAAGGAGAUGACUCACAGCAGACCAGCACGGUCGGCCAUGAAGCAGAGGCCAAAUUGCCAUCUGUUUCAUCAAGUUCGUUGGUGGUUGCCGUAUUUAUGUCUGUGAUUUAUGUCUAGGUGUCACCAUGAGCCUUGGCAGAUUUGGGAGACUAUUAAAUGUAUGAUUUGUCGAUA